rnacentral:rRNA from 1 species
UACGUAGGGACCAAGCGUUGUUCGGAUUUACUGGGCGUAAAGGGCGCGUAGGCGGCACUUCAAGUCAUCUGUGAAAGCCCCGGGCUCAACCCGGGAAAUGCGCUCGAAACUUGAAGACUGGAGGCCGGAAGAGGGUAGUGGAAUUCCCAGUGUAGAGGUGAAAUUCGUAGAUAUUGGGAAGAACACCAGUGGCGAAGGCGGCUACCUGGUCCGGAUCUGACGCUGAGGCGCGAAAGCGUGGGGAGCAAACAGG